AGAAUGAACGCUGGCGGCAUGGAUANGCAUGCAAGUCGUACGAGAUCCCGCCUUCGGGCGGGAGGACAGUGGCGAAAGGGUGAGUAACACGUGAGUAUCUGCCUCCGGGUCGGGGACAGCCCGCGGAAACGCGGAUUAAUACCCGACGAACCCCUCGGGGUAAAGAGGAAUCGCCCGGAGAUGAGCUCGCGGCCCAUCAGCUGGUUGGCGGGGUAACGGCCCACCAAGGCGACGACGGGUAGGUGGUCUGAGAGGAUGGUCACCCACACUGGGACUGAGACACUGCCCAGACUCCUACGGGAGGCUGCAGUCGAGAAUCAUCCGCAAUGGGCGAAAGCCUGACGGUGCAAUGCCGCGUGGGGGAUGAAGGCCUUCGGGUCGUAAACCCCUGUCAGAAGGGACGAAGCAAGUGACGGUACCUUCAGAGGAAGCCACGGCUAACUACGUGCCAGCAGCCGCGGUAAUACGUAGGUGGCGAGCGUUAUUCGGAUUUACUGGGCGUAAAGGGUCCGCAGGGGGUUUGCCAAGUCCGGUGUGAAAGUCCAGGGCUCAACCCUGGAACUGCGCCGGAUACUGGUGUACUGGAGUGCGCGAAGGGCAGGCGGAAUUCCUGGUGUAGCGGUGGAAUGCGUGGAUAUCAGGUAGAACACCGACGGCGAAAGCGGCCUGCUGGCGCGCCACUGACCCUCAUGGACGAAAGCGUGGGGAGCAAACAGGAUUAGAUACCCUGGUAGUCCACGCUGUAAACGGUGCAGACCCGAUGCGGGGGGCAGCCCCCUCCGUGUCCAAGCCAACGCGUUAAGUCUGCCGCCUGGGGACUACGGUCGCAAGGCU
rnacentral:rRNA from 1 species